rnacentral:rRNA from 1 species
AGAGGGAUAGCCCAGAGAAAUUUGGAUUAAUACCUCAUAGUAUUAUUGAAUGGCAUCAUUUAAUAAUUAAAGUUCCAACGGUAAAAGAUGAGCAUGCGUCCCAUUAGCUAGUUGGUGUGGUAACGGCACACCAAGGCAAUGAUGGGUAGGGGUCCUGAGAGGGAGAUCCCCCACACUGGUACUGAGACACGGACCAGACUCCUACGGGAGGCAGCAGUGAGGAAUAUUGGACAAUGGGCGCAAGCCUGAUCCAGCCAUGCCGCGUGCAGGAUGACGGUCCUAUGGAUUGUAAACUGCUUUUAUACGGGAAGAAACCCUGGCUCGUGAGCCAGAUUGACGGUACCGUAGG